GUACUGCUGAAGAGUCCAAAACUAGGACGAAACAUCCGUCAAGUAC
rnacentral:hammerhead_ribozyme from 1 species